rfam:Sus scrofa isolate TJ Tabasco breed Duroc chromosome 1, whole genome shotgun sequence.
UAAAAGGAUUUUUUUAAAUCCCACCACCUUCCCCAAAGAUUGGAGU